AGUGAACGCUGGCGGUAGGCCUAACACAUGCAAGUCGAACGGCAGCACAGUAAGCGCUUGCUCUUACGGGUGGCGAGUGGCGGACGGGUGAGGAAUACAUCGGCAUCUACUUUUUCGUGGGGGAUAACGUAGGGAAACUUACGCUAAUACCGCAUACGACCUACGGGUGAAAGCAGGGGAUCUUCGGACCUUGCGCGAUUGAAUGAGCCGAUGUCGGAUUAGCUAGUUGGCGGGGUAAAGGCCCACCAAGGCGACGAUCCGUAGCUGGUCUGAGAGGAUGAUCAGCCACACUGGAACUGAGACACGGUCCAGACUCCUACGGGAGGCAGCAGUGGGGAAUAUUGGACAAUGGGCACAAGCCUGAUCCAGCCAUACCGCGUGGGUGAAGAAGGCCUUCGGGUUGUAAAGCCCUUUUGUUGGGAAAGAAAAGCAGCAGGUUAAUACCCCGCUGUUCUGACGGUACCCAAAGAAUAAGCACCGGCUAACUUCGUG
rnacentral:rRNA from 1 species